AUGUGAUUUGUCUGGCUAGGAAUUUUUCAAUUGAGGAAGGUGCUAGUUUUAUUGUUAUGAAUUGCUGACCUUGGUGGUUGGUUGUGACGGAGAGAAGAGAAGGUGGUGAGACAUACCUAUAUCUCCAGAGUUGCAACCGAUGGACCUCCGUGCUGCACAAUAAUUACGGUGCUGGGCACAGAUUGGUUUUGAUAGAUAAAUCACAUCCUCGAUCUCUAACAUUGAAUACAUGGCCCCUAAUGAUACGGUG